CGCCCAAGGAUGGGGCCGCGACCGAUCAGGUUGUUGGUGAGGUAAUGGCUCACCAAGCCUUUUACCGGUGCGGGCCGUGAGAGCGGGAGCCCGGAGAUGGGCACUGAGACAAGGGCCCAGGCCCUACGGGGCGCAGCAGUCGCGAAAACUUUGCAAUAAGCGAAAGCUUGACAGGGCUAUCCCGAGUGCCAUCCGCUGAGGAAGGCUUUUACCCAGUCUAGAACGCUGGGGGAAUAAGGAGAGGGCAAGUCUGGUGUCAGCCGCCGCGGUAAUACCAGCUCUCCGAGUGGUGUGGAUGUUUAUUGGGCCUAAAGCAUCCGUAGCUGGCUAGGUUAGUCCCCUGUUAAAUCCACCGAAUUAAUCGUUGGAUUGCGGGGGAUACUGCUUGGCUAGGGGACGAGAGAGGCAGACGGUAUUUCCGGGGUAGGGGUGAAAUCCUAUAAUCCCGGGAAGACCACCAGUGGCGAAGGCUGUCUGCUAGAACGCGCCCGACGGUGAGGGAUGAAAGCUGGGGGAGCGAACCGGAUUAGAUACCCGGGUAGUCCCAGCUGUAAACGAUGCAGACUAGGUGUUUGGACGGCCACGUGCCGUUCUAGUGCCGCAGGGAAGCUGUUAAGUCUGCCGCCUGGGGAGUACGAUCGCAAGAUUGAAACUUAAAGGAAUUGGCGGGGGAGCACA
rnacentral:rRNA from 1 species